rnacentral:rRNA from 1 species
UGAGGUAAAGCCAUAUCACCCUGCAACUCACAACUGGCAACCCACUGAAGCUAAGCAGGUGUGAGCCUGGUCAGUACCUGGAUGGGAGACCUCCUGGGAAAAACUAAGGUUGCUGCUGGAA